AAACCAACCGGGAUUGCCUUAGUAACGGCGAGUGAAGCGGCAAAAGCUCAAAUUUGAAAUCUGGUACCUUCGGUGCCCGAGUUGUAAUUUGGAGAGGGCAACUUUGGGGCCGUUCUUUGUCUAUGUUCCUUGGAACAGGACGUCAUAGAGGGUGAGAAUCCCGUGUGGCGAGGAGUGCGGUUCUUUGUAAAGUGCCUUCGAAGAGUCGAGUUGUUUGGGAAUGCAGCUCUAAGUGGGUGGUAAAUUCCAUCUAAAGCUAAAUAUUGGCGAGAGACCGAUAGCGAACAAGUACAGUGAUGGAAAGAUGAAAAGAACUUUGAAAAGAGAGUGAAAAAGUACGUGAAAUUGUUGAAAGGGAAGGGCAUUUGAUCAGACAUGGUGUUUUGUGCCCUCUGCUCCUUGUGGGUAGGGGAAUCUCGCAUUUCACUGGGCCAGCAUCAGUUUUGGUGGCAGGAUAAAUCCAUAGGAAUGUAGCUUGCCUCGGUAAGUAUUAUAGCCUGUGGGAAUACUGCCAGCUGGGACUGAGGACUGCGACGUAAGUCAAGGAUGCUGGCAUAAUGGUUAUAUGCCGC
rnacentral:rRNA from 1 species